CCUACGGGAGGCUGCAGUGGGGAAUAUUGCACAAUGGGGGAAACCCUGAUGCAGCGACGCCGCGUGAGUGAAGAAGUACUUCGUUAUGUAAAGCUCUAUCAGCAGGGAAGAAAAUGACGGUACCUGUGCAAGAAUCCCCGGCCAACUACGUGCCAGCAGCCGCGGUACUACGUAGGGGGCAAGCGUUAUCCGGAUUUACUGGGUGUAAAGGGAGCGUAGACGGCAGUGCAAGUCUGGAGUGAAAGGCGGGGGCUCAACCCCAGGACUGCUCUUGAUACUGUACGGCUGGAGUGCAGGAGAGGUAAGUGGAAUUCGUGGUGUAGCGGUGAAAUGCGUAGAUAUUAGGAAGAACACCGGUGGCGAAGGCGGCUUACUGGACUGUAACUGACGUUGAGGCUCGAAAGCGUGGGGAGCAAACAGGAUUAGAUACCCUUGUAGUC
rnacentral:rRNA from 1 species